rnacentral:rRNA from 1 species
UACGUACCGUCCAAACGUUAUUCGGAAUUACUGGGCUUAAAGGGUACGUAGGCGGCGCGGUAAGUCGGGUGUGAAAUCUCGGGGCUUAACUCCGAAACUGCAUUCGAUACUGCCGUGCUUGAGGACUGGAGAGGAGACUGGAAUUUACGGUGUAGCGGUGAAAUGCGUAGAUAUCGUAAGGAAGACCAGUGGCGAAGGCGGGUCUCUGGACAGUUCCUGACGCUGAGGCACGAAGGCCAGGGGAGCAAACGGG